ensembl:rRNA 5S_rRNA 5S ribosomal RNA
GCCUACGGCCAUACCACCCUGAACACGCCCGAUCUCGUCUGAUCUCGGAAGCUAAGCAGGGUCGGGCCUGGUUAGUACUUGGAUGGGAGACCGCCUGGGAAUACCAGGUGUUGUAGGCU